rnacentral:rRNA from 1 species
UACGGAGGGUGCAAGCGUUAUCCGGAUUCACUGGGUUUAAAGGGUGCGUAGGCGGGCAGGUAAGUCAGUGGUGAAAUCUCCGGGCUUAACCCGGAAACUGCCAUUGAUACUCUCUGUCUUGAAUAUGGUGGAGGUAAGCGGAAUAUGUCAUGUAGCGGUGAAAUGCUUAGAGAUGACAUAGAACACCUAUUGCGAAGGCAGCUUACUACGCCUAUAUUGACGCUGAGGCACGGAAGCGUGGGGAUCAAACAGG